UUCCGGAAUUUAGGGAAGGUUCUUGGCCGUUUGAAAUCGGGAUGAAACUACAAAGGCGGGAGGUACGCCGAAGGCAAAAAUCCUCUUCCCUUCCAAACAACAAACCACCACUGAAAAGUUGAAACCAAGGAGAGAUGAAGUUCAAAGCUUUCCUCACCCAGGAUGGCGUCAACCUCCUCGACAAGCGCUUCCUCCCGGCCCUUGAUAAGCUCGGCCGCAUCUGCCAUGUCUACCUGACGCCCGAUCACGCCAUGUUCCUCCACAAUCUCCUCGGCGGCGAUGGCGUCCAGUCCGUCGCCCAGUUCAAGAAGGACGUCCUCUUCCGGGACUACCGCAUCUCCAGCCAGAACGCUGACCGUAUCGCCUUCGCCAUCGACGCUGCCCUCCUCCACCGCGCCCUCCGCAGUGCUGUCACCAUCCAGACCCAGGCCGGGGAUGGCACGGCCUCUAUCCAGAUUAAGCUUGUCAAGAAGCUCCCUGCCGGGUCUCGCAAUUCCGCGCCAUACCUCACCUUUGAGACAAAAGGCCUGCGCUCUGCUGUUGUGCAGGACGUCCCCAUCUCGAAGCCUCUCUCUCGGACCGAUGUUCUCCAGCUUCAGUCUGCCCUUGAUGCUGCCCAGGACCUCCCCCGGACUCUGGUUCAGGUACCGGAUCUGGCCCAGAUGCAGAACCUGGUUGACCGGCUCAAGAAUGUUGGGGAUCUGCUCGCCGUCGCCAUUACACAGUACGGGGACCUCCAUCUGCAAGUCUCGACCUCUCUCAUCACUGUUGGUUCAGAGUUCAGGAGGCUCAGGGUCCUUGGGGUGCAUGCCAAUGCUCCAGUGGGGGACCAGAACUUGAGUGCUCCAACACGCACUGAAAUGGCAAUUCAAAGGGGGGAGGCACUUUCCAUUGUUUCACGUGAGCAUGAAGCACCUUGCAAGGAGUCUGCAAUGCCAUUUGGCCAAGCCAGAUUGUGCCUUUUAUGGUAUAGCUCCACAAGGUGCUUGCUUGAUGGUGAUAUUCCAGUUCUUCAUCCCGGGAACAAGAUUGACGGAUAAAUCCAUCAGCUUCCACUGCAGACUUCCAGUCCUUGACCCAGGCUCUAGCUGAGAAAAGGCAGUGCAAGAUUACAUGAUCUCGAGUAGAUGGUUCCAAAAAGAUUAGACAGCAUCUCCCAUAUACUUCAUUCCUGGAAGGAAGGACGGUACUUCUAGGCUCUAGUUGGUUUCCGGCACCAGUAAGUACUGUAACGGUACAAGAUGCAGUCCCAUACCAUGCGUCUACCUGGUACCAUACCAUUCAGGCAAAAAAACUGGUACGAGUUCACAGUAUUACAAAGAUGGGAACUGCAGGAGGUGUAUCCACAUCCUCUGAAUGGACAGUAGGAAACUAAAUUUUUGUCUCUUCUCUUGUUUGCUGUUGCAUGUCCCCUGAUAUCAAAUACUUAAUUUAUAAAACAAUAACCUCGGUGAGUCAUUCAGUGAAAUUCCCUAGAGAAAUAUUAGUUACAUAUUAUUGUUGAUACUUAUAUCAUCUAUAAUAGUUUUUUAUGCCGUUAUUGCAUGCCAGCUUAAAGUUAUGGACUAUUUCACUCGAGCCAUGUGUUAUAUUUUUCCGUCUCUCAGCUCAUCCAUCUCAAAUAUGUCAACCAACAUGAUAUAGGUUUGUUAUUGAACAUUUUUGUUUCUGCUUGUUAUUGAGCUUUUGUUUUUGUUUUUUUUUGUUUUCUGCUCGUUUUGAGUCUUUUAACCUUAACCAUCUUAACAAUCACAGGAAAUUGGACUUAUAUAGUUUUGAACUGUAUUAUUCCUUAUCAGCUCGGUUUAGUCAGUAUUUCAUUCAGGUGUUGAUAAGUUUCCAAAAUAAUUGACUUCAAACUUGUAAAUGUGUUCCAUGUAAAUGUUAGACCAAGCUUGGAUGCUAGCUGGUGGUUCAUGUGGUAUUAAUAGCAGAUUUUAAUCAAUGUUGAUAUUAACAACGGAUUUUAUCUUUUCAAUCAUCAAUGAAGUUAGCUUCUUCAUAUGCAACAGAAAUUUGGCUAUUAAAAAUUUUUAUUCGAUAUAAUUUAUUAUAUUUCUAUAUUGUAUUUCAAAAAUAGUUAAAGAAAAAAAUUGUAUCGCAUAAAAAUUAUAUCACUAUAAUCCUUCCACCAUCAACUGAAAUGAACAAAAAAAAAAAAGGUGAAAAAGGAAGCAAGGGAGGAGAGGUUUGAAAGAUUAUUUAGAGGACAGGUUAUGGUGGGUUCCCUUGAUGGAGAUGCACCAACUCAUGUGCGGACCCAACUCAGACAUACCACCACCUUUCUUUAUCUCGUACUCUAGUUGUGUUAGCCCAUUAUUUAUUGCACCACGACAUGAUGUAUGCUUGGACGAUGGCCAUCAACGUCACACACGCUACAGAGAUUUUUUUUUUUUAAAUAAAAUAAAUGGUUAGAGUUUUUUCUGGUAAUCAAGUUACGGUAAACUAUAGCUUUGAAGGGAUACGAGGUGUGUUAGUUUGGUGGUUCGGCUGAGCGAUAUUAGAGAUAGAUUUGCUCAGGCCUCAUGCAUAGUUGUGGUGUUGUAUGGUUGUAUCAUUGUGGCUUGCAGAUCGGUGGCACAAUGGUUAUGUCAUGGCACAAAAGUAUCCUGAUAAUUGAGACAUCUUAGGUGAGCAGUAUUUUGGCUUGAGCGGCAAAGCUUUAGAGUUGGCAUAGAGGUGCUGAUCUAUAAAGCACUCUUAAGAAAAGUCUAUAUUAUGGCAUGGAGGUAUGCAUGAGCAUUGCGGUAGAUCUGAGGGGUCGGAUUGCUUGCGGGCACUCAAGAGUGUUGCUUGUGUCCACUGUUCAGUUCGAUAUAAUUGCAUGGCAGAGGCAUAGAGGUGCAUGCUUGGUUAUGGUGCUGGACUACUACGUCUUGGCCUGUGGCAUGUCAGGGUGCUACAUGGGUGUUUGAGUUAGGAAAACACUCACCCCGUGAUGGUUGUGUCCGCAUCACCACUGGCGUGCUGGGGAUAAUAAGCAGCCAAACAUACCAGCAGCAUCAAUCCAUCCUUGAGCAUAUGCUGUUUGACACUUUUUGUUUCUUCUUGUUGUAUUCAAGUAAGAGUAAUUCAUAUAAAGACUGCUUUCAACUUGUCGGUGACUAUUUUCAAUAGAAUAAAAAGGUAAUAGAAAGUAGAUGUUUGCGUGACAUAUCCACAUGGUUCAGAGUAUGGUUAUUUACAGUUCAGGCACCUAGGGCAUUGCUUGCAAUGAAGAUUUAGACUGGAAUUAUUUGUGAUGCAAGCUGCCAUGUACACAACAAAUUGCAUUACGACCAUCUAGAACCUAUAAAGCAGGCUUGAGCGAUGACAAAUCAACAUACACCCUCAUAACGAAUUUUCAGAGAACUAGAAUUGGUGUUUCAAAACUUUGAAAAAUGCUGUACUAAUAUGAAUGUAGAUCGAAAAUCCUGAAAAAUUUGGAUUAAGGGUCCUCUGCAAGUAAAUGGUUUCCAUUCUAAAUUUGAUUUUUGAGUGUAAUUUGUCUUGAUUGAUCUUUGCUUGUCAUUGCUUCCAUCACCUAUACAAAUGCCCCUAGGUUGCUAAAGAAAUUAAUCUUGAUUUCAAUAUUGCCUUUAAUGUCAUUUUUUUAUUUGCUUAUUUUUGUCGCUCCCAUAGAGAGUUCCGAGGAGAAUUCCAAUUGGUUUAUUUGUUAAAGUCAUUGAGAAUUAUUUGUUAAAUUAAUCGAUUUGAGUUCUAUUUUGACUGUAAUUCAUGAUCUUAAUGAAUAUUGAUGUGUUUUUAUCUUAUUUUAUAAAAAUAUUAAAAAGAGAGAGUUUUGAGAUGCUUAUGUAAAAAAACAAUUUGGUGCAUCCGUUAUAUGAAUUUUUGGGCUCAUUAAUAAUCAUUAAGAACUCAAUAUUGAAGUAUCUCAUGCUUACGGAUAAAUUCUUGGAAUAUUGAUUCUCUUAUGCAAUAUAGUACAAAAAAACUCUGCUCAUAGUAUUAGUAUUUAACAAAUAAUUUGCUCCCGCAAGUUGAAGGAGCAUCCCCAAAGCACGAAUCGGCGUCUCUUCCAGUCUUUAUAGCAAUUUGCAGUAGAUUUAACCAAUUUCGCCAUAAUGUUAGUGUGAGGAAAUAUGCGAAUAUGUGUUUAGUCUCCACAUCGAUGGAUAGAUCUUAAAUAUUUAUAUAGAGCAAAAAAAUCUAUAUAAUAUUUUCCACCUAGUUUUUUUGGAUGAGGUUAUGGAUUAUUAUAAUUGACCUCUGAAUACUUAUUCUUUGCACUGCUAUCAUGGUAUAGGGACAGCCAAGACUCUGUAAGCCUUAACAACACCAAUCUAGCGUUAGUGUGCUUAGUGCCCCCUCCCUGUGUUUGCAUGGCAUGGGGCUAGAUUCAUCAUAAGAGACUAAUUUGGUUAGGCCUAAAGGCACUCCUUAAUCCAUCCUCAUCAAUGCAUCAUCUCCUAGUAGACCUCUUGCACGUCAGUCUUGUUUAACGUGAAACUAACUAGCCCACCAAUUGGCUCACGUAUCUCAAUUUUUUUUUCUUUUGAUAGAGUUGCUAUAUUAUACAUCCAUUUGAAUGUGAGUAUAACAUAUCACAAAGCUGAGUGGGAAUGGAGGAGAUGGAGUUCCAGAGAAUCGAACUCAUAUGAUUUGUUACAUAUGACAUUACCCAAUCUGUAGCAUCAUUAGCCUCUCAAUACGCAGGAUGGCUUCAAAGGUUGCAAGAGAUAAGGUAAUCCUCAAAUAGUCCAAUAAAAGUGGAUAAGUGUAAUCACUCUAGGCUGCCGACUUGGAUACCAAGUGAUCAUAAUUUUUGAAUCCCCCUCUAAUACCAUUGGUUGCCUCAAGAAUAGUAGUGGCAUAGAUUAACUCUUCCAUACUUCUCUUAAUUUUACCAACAGAACAACAGUAUCAUAGAGAUGACAUCCCACACUGCCACGAAGAGCGGGCUAGGAAUGCGAACAACAAAGCCUACUCGAACAUUGGUUUAGUCAUCUAGCACACUGCUAUUGAAGUUGAUCUUUACAAAGUAAGGAUGUAGGAGCUCCUAGGUGAUGUAAUUCACAUGAGAAUGCACAAGGAUUUCAAAGAUGGAGUCCCAAUUUUCUCUAGCUAUCAAAGACCAUAAGAAAGUAUUUGAGUGGAUGAACCCUAAUGCUAGUUGUUGGACAUGCGACUAUUUUUAGCCAACCAAAUCACAAUCACAUUAUGAACCACCUAGCUCUUCAUCUUUCAUUCUUUUAAGUAGCCUAGGAAUGUGAGGCGAAGAGAUGGAUUAAAGUUCUAAAACUCUUUUCCAUUCACAGCUAUUUUGUAUUUAGCACUAAUCCCACUUUAAAUUAGGUUUUGCUGGAGUUUUAUUUACUUCAAAAAAUGAAUUUUCUUUUCUUCCUGCACUUCAACGUUCACUUUGCUAUAUACUUGGACACAUCUCAGCUGAUUACUGGGUUAUGAAUUAUGAUGCCACCAAAGCCACUUAGUUCUUCGCAUCACAGUUUUUCUUAUAUACUUUUAUAUAUUUUUAUUUUUUUAUACGACUUUCCAUCAUACCUUAAUUACAGGAGAAACCCUUCCACUUAAAACAUGGACAGCCAAGCAAAACCCCGAGGCAAAUACCCAGUACAAUGGGGAUGGAAUUAGUUAUAUAAACAAAAAUAAUCAUAUAAAAAAUUCGGUAUUAUUUAAAAAUUUUUAAUUUUAUUUUAAAUUUUAAUUUAGUAUAAUAAUAUAAUCGAAUUUUUAAAUUUGUCCAAUGCAGGUUCUGAUUAUAAAUUUCUUCUGGCUGCCGUAAUGGAAUUAUCUCGUAAUGUUAUAUGAGGCAUCAUCAUCUUCUGUGAUAUAAGCCGAUUACGUGAUAAUCUCGUCACGGCAGCGAGCAGAUUCAUAAAAGUCCAACUUAAAUAAAUUUAAUAAUUUAAUAUAUUAAUUAUAUUAAAUUAAAAUUUAGAAAAAAAUAAAAUUUUUAAAUAAUUUAAUUUUUUUGCAUUAUUUUUUUUAAAAAACGGAGGACGGAAUUAUAAUAGAAGAAAAAAAACCCCAGCUCCCGUCAAAGAUAUUGGAGGGAAAGGUGGGCAACCAAACCGAGAAGAAACGAAGAGAAGAGAGGGAAAUGUCAGAAGACAUGAAUCUUCCUUGGAAAAAGCAAAGAAGUGGAGAAAGGUCCGGCCUUUUUAAUCCAGACCCAAGAAACACUCGAAAAAUAAGAACAACUCGACCUUUGGUUGCAAUUUGGAACCCUUCACUUCCUUUCGGCUUCUUCUUCUCUUUGAUAUCUCGAGGGAAGAAGGGGAGAGAGAGAGCUCCGGAAGUGCCCACAAAUCGCUGCUCUUCUACACGAAGAUUCGAUUUUUGUGCCUCUGGUUGGGAGUUUAGGCGGGCGGGAGCUGUGGACGGAGAGCAGCUGGUGGAGCGGUGCUGCAAUGGAAGAGGGGAGGUGAGAGAGAAGGAGAUAUGCGGGGUUUGGCUUCUUGAGAUCCGUCAUGGGCUGAGGAAGCGGAAUUUGAGAUCGAAUUUGGACCUUUUGGUUAUAUUUUGAGGAGAGAGGAGAAGAAGAGGAGGCUCUGUUUUGUUUGUUCCGUCCCAGCUUCAUGAUGACCACCAAGCGUGCCUAUAAGCUACGGGAGUUUGUAACACAUGCUUCCAAUGUGAAUUGCCUCAAGAUUGGGAGGAAGACUUCAAGGGUUCUUGUUACCGGUGGAGAAGAUCACAAGGUCAAUCUCUGGGCUAUUGGCAAACCCAAUGUCAUACUGAGCCUGUCAGGCCAUACAAGUGCAGUCGAGUUGUUAAAUUUUGAUUCAUCAGAAGCUUUAGUGGCUGCUGGAGCUGCCAGUGGCAUGAUAAAGUUGUGGGAAUUAGUGGAGGCAAAUGCUAAGAACCAGAAUUGAUCCCCGUGUUGUUUGCACUCUAACAGGGCACAGGUUCAACUGUGUAUCUGUUGAUUUUCAUCCAUUUGGGGAAUUCAUUGCAUCUGGAUCUACGGAUACAAACCUAAAGAUGUGGGAUGCUGAAGGAAGGGAUGCAUCCACACAUACAAAGGGCAGAGCGGAGGGGUCAAUGCCAUUAGAUUCACCCCAGAUGACCGAUGGGUUGUUUCAGGUGGAGAAGAUAACAUUGUGAAGGUUUACUUGACAAAACUGUUAAAUUUUGGGAUCUUGAAAUUUUUGAGAAGAUUGUCACCAGGACCUGAGGAGGAGCUCGAGGAAGUGCACAUCCUUCAUAGCUAGGCACAUCUACCAUGAGGUGAUUAGAGCGGUAGAUUGGGUCGCCUCCUAUGUAGUGGAGCACUCUGGAGAGUUUUUGUGGACUGCCACGUCAACUGUCCCAACCGUGCUUCGUGACAUUUUAUUUUCGGAUUUUCUUAGAAAUAUUUAUACCAGGAUUGUAUGAGCCGUCUGCCCCACCGAACAAAAAGAAAGAAAGAUUUUUUUUCUUUACGAACAAAAAGAAAGAAAGAUUAUUGACCUUCUUUCUUCAAUUACAGACCAACAGUGUGCAUUCCAUGACUUCUAACCCUGAUGGGAGAACUCUAUUUUGUGGAUUGCAUGAAAGCCUGAAGGUUUUAUCUUGGGAGCCAAUAAGAUGUCAUGAUGUAGUGGAGGUGGGAUGGUCUAGAUUGUCAGAUCAAAACGCCCAUGAGUAUAAACUUCUUGGAUGCUCUUAUAACCAAUAUUGUGUUGGAGUAUGGGUUGCUGACAUCUCAAUAUGGUCCAGAUAUGUUCUUUAUAAAAAUUUGUACAUGUUCUGGAUUUUGUUAUGCUGAAGAAUAUAUAUUUAAUCUUAAAAAGUAACUUAUGAUGUAUGAUAGCUGAUAUUAUGAAUUGCAGCAGGUUGAGCCUUAUGCAGGGACCAGUGCUGCUAGAUUAAAUGGCCUUUCAGAAUCAAGAUCCAAUACCUGUGGUAAUCAGUUCCUGAUAAUUGACAACAAUAUAAAGACCGCUCCUGGAAUUGUCCCUGGUGCUCCCCGAAGAACUGGAUUAAGCUCUGCGCUGAAUGACUGCAGCAAAUUCAGCUACGCCACCAGGUGCUACAGCGUUAAAGACAAGUUCAUCGAAGUUCGAUGGAACAACCAAUUUUCACAAUGUUACAAGUCUGAUGUGGUACCCGUCGUUGACCCAGAACUACCUCAAGAGCUGAUAUGGCUGUUGACUCUAGAAAAGAAAUGGAUGAUGUGGUACCUGUUGUCUCAAAACCAACUCAAGUGUGGCUUUGGCUCCUGAUCCUGGAAAACAAGCCAGCAAUGCGGUGCCUGCUGUUGUCACCAGAACUACUCUAGUCAAAGGUGACUGAUUUGCAUAAACUGUCAAAUAACAGAGUUGGUUCAGAGAGAGCAAAUGUAAGAUUUCAAUAUAGAUCCAUGGGCAGCAAGAGCACCGAAACAAAUGAAAAUAUUGACUGCACUGUCCUUCCCGCUGUCAAUGGCUUUGAUCAAACAUCCGCUGGAAAAAAGAACCUGGAAAAUGCUUGAAUAAUUAAGGCUGGGAAGGCUGAAGAAAACCUAUCACUGGAGCCAAAGCUGAGUUACUCAUUUCAAAAUAGGGAGUCAAGAUUCUCAGAAUGACAAAAAUAUGUUUUCUGAUUGUAAAUAUUUCUUUCAAUAGAUCCUUGCUCGACUAUUUACCUGGCCUCCUAUCAUAAUACCUGCUUUCUUUUUAGUUUGUGCUUCUAUUGAUGGGUUUAAGGCCACAAAUUGGAGCUGCAAAUAUUAUCUUAG